AGCAGUCGCCACGGUAAUACAGAGGGUGCGAGCGUUAAUCGGAUUUACUGGGCGUAAAGCGUGCGUAGGCGGCUUCUUAAGUCGGAUGUGAAAUCCCUGAGCUUAACUUAGGAAUUGCAUUCGAUACUGGGAAGCUAGAGUAUGGGAGAGGAUGGUAGAAUUCCAGGUGUAGCGGUGAAAUGCGUAGAGAUCUGGAGGAAUACCGAUGGCGAAGGCAGCCAUCUGGCCUAAUACUGACGCUGAGGUACGAAAGCAUGGGGAGCAAACAGGAUUAGAUACCCGCGUAGUCCCUGUCUCUUUUAC
rnacentral:rRNA from 1 species